GUACGCAUUUCAUUGACCUGCCUUCUCUCGUAUAUGUGAGCCCUGUUAUUUCUUAUGUGCUAUACAAAUAACUGAAGGUUCAUUAGCAGUAUAACUAUAUAGUAAUGCUGCCAGUCUCCUUCAGACAAAU
rnacentral:snoRNA from 1 species